GGGCCCAUAGCUCAACGGCAGAGCGGCCGGUUCAUACCCGGUUGGUUCCUGGUUCGAGUCCAGGUGGGCCCACCC
rnacentral:tRNA from 1 species